UGGACAGAUUACCGUAUUCGACUGUAUUCACGGCGUGAAACAGGGGAUUACACUGUUUUUAAACGGAAAGUGUAUCAAUUAACAUAAUAGACUACU
rnacentral:pre_miRNA from 1 species